ACGCCGCGUGAGGGAUGACGGCCUUCGGGUUGUAAACCUCUUUUAGCAAGGAAGAAGCGAAAGUGACGGUACUUGCAGAAAAAGCGCCGGCUAACUACGUGCCAGCAGCCGCGGUAAUACGUAGGGCGCAAGCGUUAUCCGGAAUUAUUGGGCGUAAAGAGCUCGUAGGCGGUCUGUCGCGUCUGCUGUGAAAACCCGAGGCUCAACCUCGGGCCUGCAGUGGGUACGGGCAGACUAGAGUGCGGUAGGGGAGAUUGGAAUUCCUGGUGUAGCGGUGGAAUGCGCAGAUAUCAGGAGGAACACCGAUGGCGAAGGCAGAUCUCUGGGCCGUAACUGACGCUGAGGAGCGAAAGGGUGGGGAGCAAACAGGCUUAGAUACCCUGGUAGUCCACCCCGUAAACGUUGGGAACUAGUUGUGGGGUCCUUUCCACGGAUUCCGUGACGCAGCUAACGCAUUAAGUUCCCCGCCUGGGGAGUACGGCCGCAAGGCUAAAACUCAAAGGAAUUGACGG
rnacentral:rRNA from 1 species